rnacentral:rRNA from 1 species
UGGGGGAUAUUGCACAAUGGCGAAAGCCUGAUGCAGCGACGCCGCGUGGGGGAUGAAGGCCUUCGGGUUGUAAACUUCUUUUGCUCUGAACAAGGCAUGCCUUUGGGGUGUGUUGAGUGUAGGGGUUGAUUAGCGCCGGCUAACUACGUGCCAGCAGCCGCGGUAAUACGUAGGGCGCGAGCGUUGUCCGGAAUUAUUGGGCGUAAAGGGCUUGUAGGUGGCUGGUUGCGUCUGUCGUGAAAGCUCAUGGCUUAACUGUGGGUUUGCGGUGGGUACGGGCUGGCUUGAGUGCAGUAGGGGAGGCUGGAAUUCCUGGUGUAGCGGUGGAAUGCGCAGAUAUCAGGAGGAAUACCGGUGGCGAAGGCGGGUCUCUGGGCUGUUACUGACGCUGAGGAGCGAAAGCGUGGGGAGCGAACAGG